UGAGCUGCGCGAUCUCGCUGAGCAGCGGAAACACCGAGGGCCGGCGCAGUGCCUUACUGAGCUCGAGCUCCUUCAGCCCUUCCAACUUAUGCAGCGCCAGCCCGUUCAGCCCGGGGGGGCGAUAUCUUCACCUGCAAGCACUCCAGCCCCACCAAACUCCCAGCUCGCUCGGGAACAGGUUCACCUCGUUCGCGAAGAACUUCAGCGUCUUCAGCCUCCGCAG
rnacentral:lncRNA from 1 species